CCUACGGGGGACAGCAGUGAGGAAUAUUGGUCAAUGGGCGCACGCCUGAACCAGCCAAGCCGCGUGAGGGAUGACGGUCCUGCGUAUUGUAAACUUCUUUUGUCAGGGAACAAAGUCGGGCACUAGUCCCUGGCUGUGUGUACUUUACGAAAAAGCAUCGGCUAACUCCGUGCCAGCAGCCGCGGUAAUACGGUGGAUGCGAGCGUUUUCCGGAUUUAUUGGGUUUAAAGGGUGGGGAGUUGGGCUGGUAAGUCAGUCGUGAAAGGCCCGGGCUCAACCGCGGCGGGGCAUUUGAUACUGGCGGGCUGGAGUGGGAGAGAGGGAGGCGGAAUGCGCGGUGUAGCGGUGAAAUGCUUAGAUAUCGCGCAGAACCCCGAUGGCGAAGGCAGCGUACUGGAUCGACACUGACGCUGAGGCACGAAAGCGUGGGUAGCAAACAGGAUUAGAUACCCGUGUAGUC
rnacentral:rRNA from 1 species